UAUUACCAUAACUAAGCAGAAAAACGUCCCCUAUCCUGUACUGUUAUUGCCAUUCCUAUUUCUAAAGAUGAACUCGAGAGCCAUUCUUGUCGUGCUAUGUCUGUUCUCGCUGAUGAUUGCAGAGCACUCUGUCCAAGGCCAAGGUUCUUGUUGGACACAUGCUGGGUGCGGACGAUGCAAAGUGCGAUGCACAAACAGAGGAUUUCGUCGUGGAUACUGUAAAUACUCUGCGACUAAGUGCCCUGUAGGAAGGCAUUGGAAUUGCACAUGUUGGAACUAACUUGAUUUAUGUAAACAAAACCUGAAUCAAUCUAUACAAUAAAGUGAAAGUAAUGCAGAUAUCAUAAUAA